UACGGGGGGUGCAAGCGUUGUUCGGAAUUACUGGGCGUAAAGGGCGCGUAGGCGGCCUGCUAAGUCGGACGUGAAAUCCCUCGGCCUAACCGAGGAACUGCCUUUGAAACUGCUUGGCUUGAGGCCGGGAGAGGGUAGCGGAAUUCCCAGUGUAGCGGUGAAAUGCGUAGAUAUUGGGAGGAACACCAGUGGCGAAGGCGGCUACCUGGACCGGUUCUGACGCUGAGGCGCGAAAGCGUGGGGAGCAAACAGG
rnacentral:rRNA from 1 species